UUUGAGGGUUUGAUCCUGGCCCAGGAUGAACGCUAGCGGCGUGCUUUAGGUAUGCAAGUGGAACGGCUCGUGCGGAGCACGGGCGACUUAAGACUGAAAACCGAAGACUUAAAUUUAAGUUUUUAGUGUUAAGUUUUAAGUUGCCCACGCUCUGCGUGAGCAGUCGCGAACGGCUGAGUAACACGUAGGAACGUACCUUCUAGUGGAGCAUAGCUCCUCGAAAGAGGGGGUAAUUCUCCAUACGGUGGGUGGAGAUUUAAGGGUGAAAUUAAGAUCCUUUUUGGAAAUUUUGCUUUUAAGUCUCCAUCUAUCAAAGAGAGUAACUUCUCGCUGGAAGAGCGGCCUGCGGCCUAUCAGCUAGUUGGUAGGGUAACGGCCUACCAAGGCAAUGACGGGUAGGGGGCGUGAGAGCGUGUACCCCCAGAAUGGCACUGAGAAACGGGCCAUACACCUACGGGUGGCGCAACCGGGAAUCGUGCGCAAUGGGCGAAAGCCUGACGCUGCGACGCCGCGUGAGGGAUGAAGGCCUAAGUGGUUGUAAACCUCUUUUGCCAGGUACCAUACGGUACUUGGAGAAUAAGCACCGGCUAACUCCGUGCCAGCAGCAGCGGUAAUACGGAGGGUGCAAGCGUUAUCCGGAUUCAUUGGGCGUAAAGGGUUCGUAGGCGGUCCGAUAAGUCGUGCUUUAAAGACCCCAGCUUAACUGGGGAAAGGGGCGCGAUACUGUCGGACUUGAAAAAUCUAGGGGCUUACCGGAACUGUCGGUGUAGGGGUGAAAUCCGUUGAUAUCGACAGGAACACCUAGGGCGAAGGCAGGUAGCUGGGGAUUUUCAGGUACCAUUCGGUACCUGACCAGGCACAGUAUAGUGCUUGGUUUGACGCUGAGGGACGAAAGCUAGGGGAGCGAAAGGGAUUAGAGACCCCUGUAGUCCUAGCUGUAAACGAUGCUCGCUAGGGAUAGGGCUCGCAAAGGAUGUAUCCUUUGCGAAAACUCCAAACAAUAUAUAAAUGUAAAGUUUUAUAAAUUUAUUUAAUUUAGUUUUGUUUGGAAGUUUGGAUUUUUGGAUGAUUUGGCGUUUUUCGCAAAAAUGCUGAUGCAUUUUUUGCGAGCUCUGUCCCGCAAGCUAACGCGUUAAGCGAGCCGCCUGGGGAGUACGAGCGCAAGCUUAAAACUCAAAGGAAUUGACGGGGACCCGCACAACCAGUGGAGCAUGU
rnacentral:rRNA from 1 species